CAUGCUUUAUUAUUCUCUGGUUCUCCGAUUUGCUGUGUACUGCUGCCAGCUAGUCUGAUUGUGAGAAGCUUUAUGGCAGCGAUAUGAACUAAUUUUAGAAGUUGAGCUGUUGUGUGCAAAUUUUGUUUAUUUCCAGUGCAAAUUUUGUGGUACCGAUAUGAACUAAUCUUUUUUUUCCAUUGGUCAUUUAGUUCACCUUUCACUAAGAGUCAUGUUUACGGUGUUACUCUUGUUAUGCUUCUGCCCAAGAUAAGUUAAUUUUUGCUCUUCCAAAAAGGUUCCCCGGAUAUGUUUCCUGUUUUGUGCUUAGUCUGCCAUGAUGUGUUUAGUCUGCCACCGUGUUUAGUGUCUCUUUGUGCUUGAUAAGAGGAUUGUUCAAAUGUAAAAACUUUCUUUUUACAUGAGAUGACAUGGCUUUUGCCCCCUGUUUUCGCUGACUUGGUUUCUGCAGGUAGCAUAGUGUAUAACUGCUGGUAACAUUGAGUCGUCAAGGAGAAGUAGCAGGAGGAAAAAUGGAAAGCGCAAGUGGAAGCGGAAAAGCUAAAGGUGGUGGGGGUCAUGGAGGAACAUCUGAAAGCGGUAAGAGGUACAAGUUUGAUGCCGCGCUGAUUGAUGCACAACUUAUGAAAAGAUGUGACAGUAGAAUUAGUGAAGCUGACUGGAAGAACCUUAUUACUUACUGGAGAUCUUCGGUAUUUGAAGCUGUCAAACUUGUCCAUCAGCCUCGAAGAGAUCAAGUUUAUAUCGAGACAAAUACAUGCAAGAAAGGGGAUAAGAAAGGGAGUUAUGUGCCGCAGGCAGAAGCAACAAUUAAAUAUCUCAUAGGAAAGCUGAAAAGCGCACUGAAUGGAAGGAAAAAGCAUUCAAGAAGGUGAUCUGUUUGCACAUGUAUGUGGAAUGAAGGAGCCAAGGGGUCGUGUUCGUACUUCUGUAUGCAUGGACUGGUCAUGAAACUCCUGUUGCUCAGGCAACAAUUUCCAAAUUUGACCCGUAUUUGGUCAGGCAAGAUAGUGCUAGCUUAAUUUAUGAAUAAUGGAAAAAUAUAUUGAGGCUGUGAAGAAGGCUGCCAUCGAGACAAAGAGCGAGCACCCCAAGGAUUAAUGCGUGGCAUAGAAGGUUAUCAAAAGAACUAUGUCUUUUUGUUAAUUAAUUUCCUAGAUAAGUACACUCGCACAUGCAUCUUUGCGACAAAAUAAAAACUAAACUACUCUCUCUCUCUCUCUCUCUCUCUCUCUCUCUAAUGUUAUCAAAAGUACUAAUUGUGAAUUUCAUCUCUAUUUUCUCCAAAAACUCUGUUUGGUAUCCCUUUCACUGUAAGUUUAUUACUAUGUGAUUAGAGAAAUUAAGAUGUAUAUGUGCAUACUGUAAGAACAUGAUCAGUGGUGUACAGAUCCUAUGAAGUGAAAUACCCAACGCAGUUUAUACUCAACGCAGUUUAUGUGUACAGAUCCUGUGUGCAUAUUUUCGUUUUUCCUAGAUUUAUAGAACAAUAGCAUAUGCGGCAUAAGCAAAAACUGUAUGUGAUGUAAACUAUGGUCUAAUGAUUUAAGAUCGUCAUAGUUAUUCCCAACUAAUAAUCUCAAACACAAAAAAGGUACCCUGUGUGUAUGCACAGGUCGAUGAAAAUGUCACACAAUUGAUUCUAUGCUGUAUCACCCAAUGUAUAGCAGCUUCCUUGACUUUAUUUUGUUCUCAUCGAGUGGCAUGGUAUUCUGCCAUGUUCCCCUGUCUAUGCAUCAUUGGCCCUUGGCCGGUGCUUCUCCUGUUGAGCGCCUAGGGGGAGAUUAAAUAAGAACAGCAGCAGAGCAACAUCGGCGUUGAAAAAGAGCAUCGGGGAGAUUAUUAUGCAUGGCAGAUUAAUACACUUCUAUAACUAUGUAAUUUCGAUAUUUAUUGUACUGAAGCUCCACUAUAACAACCAGUGCACUAAAUAACAACAACUUUUGUAAUCCAUGUGCAGUUCUAGGUUCUGGCUUUGUAGUGUGCAUCAUCUAGUUGAAAAAUGAAAUGAUGUGAAACUAUGUUCGAUCUUGCUGGUUUGCUGCUUGUCAACCUUGCUAUGCUGCUGUCUGCUGAAUUCUGGGUGUACGUCGAUGCAAAUGAACAUGGAAACGACUUCAGCUUCACAUUUUUUUUACUAAGCCUCAUGAUGCUAAUGGUAGUUGGUUUCUAUACUCUGCAAGCCUCAUGAUGCUAAUUGAAAUAUCCUUUAUCAUGUUGCAGAUGCUAAGCAAAUGCUUUCGAUGCUACCUGUUCUUAUUCAGCUGCUAACUUUUCUUAAUCAUCUGAUUUCUUCUUUCAU